GACAGAGGGUGCAAACGUUGUUCGGAAUUACUGGCGUAAAGCGCGUGUAGGCUGCUUCGCAAGUCGGAUGUGAAAGCCCUGGGCUCAACCCAGGAAGUGCAUUCGAAACUGCAGAGCUGGAGUCCUGGAGAGGAAGGCGGAAUUCUCGGUGUAGAGGUGAAAUUCGUAGAUAUCGAGAGGAACACCGGUGGCGAAGGCGGCCUUCUGGGACAGUGACUGACGCUGAGACGCGAAAGCGUGGGGAGCAAACAGG
rnacentral:rRNA from 1 species